GCUUUUAAAGGAUAACUAAUCCUUUGGUCUUAGACCCCAAAUACUCUUGGUGCAAAUCCAUGUAAAAGCC
rnacentral:tRNA from 1 species